UACGGGGGGAGCAAGCGUUGUUCGGAUUUACUGGGCGUAAGGGGCGCGUAGGCGGCACCGCAAGUCGACUGUGAAAUCUCCGGGCUUAACCCGGAAAGGUCAGCCGAUACUGCGGGGCUAGAGUGCAGAAGGGGCAACUGGAAUUCUCGGUGUAGCGGUGAAAUGCGUAGAUAUCAGGAGGAACACCGAUGGCGAAGGCAGAUCUCUGGGCCGUAACUGACGCUGAGGAGCGAAAGCAUGGGGAGCGAACAGG
rnacentral:rRNA from 1 species